rnacentral:misc_RNA from 1 species
AAGUCGUAACAAGGUUUCCGUAGGUGAACCUGCGGAAGGAUCAUUAACACUUUUGAAAAGCAUCCAAUAUCAACAAAUCACAACCAAACGGUCAACUAUCUCCUCCCUAUUUCGCACACCGGAGACGGUACGAGUAGGCUAACAUGUCAAUAACAAGCGCUCAAGCUCAAGCAAUUGCGCAUGCGCAUGUUAUUUUCAAACACAAGAUAACCCCUUUUAAUUAUAUUAUUCAUUUAAUAUAAACGAACAACUCUUCGAAUUUGCCCUUCAUUUUCAAUGAAGAACAAAAACGAACUAAACUAAAAUAUACAUUCGAUAUAUUUUUAUUUUACGAAAUAAUAUAUAUUUAUAAGAACAACUCUUAGCAAUGGAUAUCUUGGUUCUC